rnacentral:rRNA from 1 species
GACGAACCGAGCGAACGUUGUUCGGAAUCACUGGGCUUAAAGGGUGCGUAGGCGGGCUGCCAAGUUUGAGGUGAAUCCUCCGGCUCAACCGGGGAAGUGCCUUGAAUACUGGCGGUCUGGAGGGAGGUAGGGGCGUGCGGAACUAACGGUGGAGCGGUGAAAUGCGUUGAUAUCGUUAGGAACUCCGGUGGCGAAGGCGGCAUCCUGGACCGGCAUUGACGCUGAGGCGCGAAAGCCAGGGGAGCAAAGCGGG